AUGGGUUGACUUGGGGGAAUGAUCAUUCACACAUUUCGUCACACAACGGUUUCCGACCGGCUUUCCCGGCCAUAAUUGACAUUAUGGUGGUGUGGGGCUGUGUGGGGUGCUGCUGUGAGACUGAAUAACUUGAACCUGAACCAAACCAACCUUUGAAUCGGUUUUGUCUUUCCCCACAACGUUUUUUUAUUCUCUUGAUAAUUAUUUCAUCAAUGGUAAUUGGUCUAGUUCGGUUGGUUCCGACCUAGGGGAGGAUAUAGGCCGGCGCGGCGCGUGGGGGUUUAUGCGUGGAAGUCUCCAUAUAGAUGAUCCUGGAAAUUUUUAAGUUUUAUAGGCCUCAGAUGUUUCUUGCAUAAUAUAAUUAAUAUAUAGACCUAAAUCAGUCGAGGUUCCCCCA
rnacentral:misc_RNA from 1 species